rnacentral:rRNA from 1 species
GAACCGCAGCGCGUGGCACCUGGCGGCGAGUGGCGAACGGGUGACUAAUAUAUCUGAGCGUACCCAAGAGUGGGGGAUAACGUAGCGAAAGUUACGCUAAUACCGCAUACGAUCUAAGGAUGAAAGUGGGGGAUCUUCGGACCUCAUGCUCCUGGAGCGGCCGAUAUCUGAUUAGCUAGUUGGUGAGGUAAAGGCUCACCAAGGCGACGAUCAGUAGCUGGUCUGAGAGGACGACCAGCCACACUGGAACUGAGACACGGUCCAGACUCCUACGGGAGGCAGCAGUGGGGAAUUUUGGACAAUGGGCGCAAGCCUGAUCCAGCAAUGCCGCGUGAGUGAAGAAGGCCUUCGGGUUGUAAAGCUCUUUUGUCAGGGAAGAAACGGUAGAGGCUAAUAUCCUUUGCUAAUGACGGUACCUGAAGAAUAAGCACCGGCUAACUACGUGCCAGCAGCCGCGGUAAU